rnacentral:misc_RNA from 1 species
GUAAAUAGAGAGUUCAUAAGCAGUUAAACAUCUUAAUCAAAAGCCAGAUUUUGGCUUAGGUCAUCCAUGAGACUGAAAGUCACAAAGUUUGCAUACACCAACUUAGUAAUAUUAUAGUCGCAUGAUCCUGCAAAUGACCAUCAGAGGGAUAAUCCAAAGAGGAUGGUAACACCAUUAGGAACCUUUCAUUUAGAAAAAAGGCCACAAUGCUCCAACCGUAUGCCCAAACAAAUACCAUUUGUGUCAUCCCAGA